UGCCAGAGGCUGCUCUUUUUGUCCAGACAGCAUCAGAUACAUAGUCUACAUAUACUGAGACAGAGAGGCGUUGUUUCGCUCGCUCGGACGCUUUAACUGAGAUUUUUAUGCGUCUUUCUGUCCGCGCGCGUCUCGGUCAAAUAACUGAUAAAUAUUACAAUAUUUAAUUUCGACGGACAACACGGUACGGUAGGGCGAGCCAGGCCCAUAACGCCGGACCAGACAGCCAGUUGUCGGUUGGAGCACGUCUCUAGAGUCAACGGAUGGGCGAGUAUUAACCCUGCUGUAUAAUUCAUUGCGUCCAUGAGAUCGAACAAAUAGCUAAAACGAACGAGUCACUCGAAUCAUGAAUCACACGAAUCAUGACUCUCGAGUCAGUAGAAAGAGUCGUUCAAAAAGAACCAAUCGUUCGCGAACUGGCGCCGGGCUGUCGUCACCGUCACGGCUCUCGUUGAUAGGCACUGGCGUUUGUGUCGCUGGAUGGGCUGGAGCGAAACUGGGUUCAUUUACAGCAUGUGGCAACAGAGAGCGAGAGACAGGACGGAGAGACCACAGAGACUCCAGGAACUUCGGGCCAAUUUGCUAAAUGGAAAGAGAAAUAGACGAGCGCUGUCCAAAAUAACUUAAAUACAGGGAAAGCCAGGACUGUGAAGUGGACCACGCAGAACAGUGAAGAUUCCAGAGGCGAAUGACCAUUGAAGGGGAAGAGAAAACGCACUGCAAGCAAAACCAGUGAAUACCUGAAUUUCGUGAGUGAGACUGAGGACUCAUACCUGGAGACACUUGAGGCCCAGUGUCAGCAGCAGGAUCAGCUCUUUAAUCAGCUGUGUGAAGAUGAGGCAGCAGACAGGACAGCCAGAGAUGGCCCAGACCGCCUAAUUUAAUAACACCUACAUAGCUGUAUUUCGACAGUUUGUCCAAGCCAUAAAAGCUCAACGUGUCACUAGACUAAACUGGCUGAAGUUCUUAUGUAAAAUGCUUAUUUUUUUAUUUUCUUAAAUUUGCUCUACACCAAACGCAUUGUGAAUGUGGCUUUCAAUUAGUGUUCAUUGAAUUUAGCCUACGGUUAAACAAUUAAAAUAUACAUGUUGGAGCAAUACAUUUCUUAAACAUGCUUGUGUUGAUUUUAAAUGUAGGAAAUAAAGAUUAGACAUGAUUUACACACUUUUAUUAAAAAACAAACGUUGGUCGAACAUAGAAGAUACACUUGUGUAGUAGGUUAUUCACAGGAAGUAAGAAACAAAACUUAUAAGAACAUAUCUCUAAUGGUAAAAUGAACACAAGGGAGUAUAUCAGUACUUUAUUAAUCAGGGUAAAAUCAUGUGAUGGGGGUGUAGUAACCAAAAAGGGAGAGACCCACUGAACUAAGUGGCCAGGCUUGGUCUGUCAUGCUAAUAGUUUGGUUUUGGUCCAGGCGCUUUGUUGUCCAAACUGUGUUGGUGGAGUUGGGUGUCUGAGAAAAUCAUAAAGAAGGAAAAAAGAAAAUCUGUCAUUAAACAUUGUGUUUGUUUGUCAGUGGGACAUCAACUCACCAUAGCAUAGUUGGAGAUAAUGAUAGUUGAUUGGGUUGAUUACUUAUCAUCUGAUUAGGUCAGGAAGUGUUUCUCAUAGGAGUGCUAAAUGACUCUUGCAGUAUUGAAGGAGGACAGCUAGCUAUUACACGUGCAAUAAGGUGCAGUCCUGCAUUAUUACUCUUGCAAUAUGUAGGCCUAGGUAUGUACAAUGUAUAUCUAUCACAAAGACAGAUACACAUUAUGUAGCCAGCUAGAUAGAUACAUUGUGCAUACUUCCUAGGGUCCUGUCACACACAGCAUACUGCAAGAGUAAUACCGUAUUGCAGGACUGCAUCUUAUUGCAAGAAACUAUAAUGGCUGGCCUCAUUCCAAAUAAGUUUUGAGGAAUUCACAAAGACAGAUACACAACAGCUAGCUAAACAAAUAAAAGCACAUUCUGUACCUCUCACGGAGCAUUUGUUUUGUAAGCUGGUCUUUCAACCGGCUGACUCGAUCCUCUCCUCGCAUGUUAAUAACUUACAUGGUGUAUUUCUCCAUCUCUUUUCAGCUGUCUCCUCUCAUUCAGUCUAGAUUGCUGCCCAUUAAUACAUUUUAAAAGGAUGACACAAAAUAGCCCGGCCAACUCCUCCAUACUUAAAAAUGCCAGUCACCAAGGAUCACAACAAUUUCACUGUUGAAUUGCGUCAUCGG